AUAAGACGUAAGGUAGUUCGGGCCUGCCCGGUGAUUUUUGAAAAAUUUAACGGCCGCAACGAGAGUUGUGCUAAGGUAGCGCGAUAAUUUGUCUCUUAAUUGGAGAAUGGUAUGAAUGGUUUGACGUGGACUAACUGUCUCCAAGAAAUAAAGUGAAGUUUCCAUUUGAGUGAAAAGGCUUAAAUUUUUGUAAAAGACGAGAAGACCCUGUCGAGCUUAAUUAGAGUGUUUAAUCAAAUAAUUUUUGGUUGAAGUUCUUGAAUCUUUAUUGGGGCAAUAUUGGUUUAUAAAACAGUCAAAUGUUAAAUGAAGAUCCUUUUUGAGAGAAACUAGCAAGAGCUACCGCAGGGAUAACAGCGUUAUCCUUUUUGGGAGAUCGAAUUGAGGAAAGGGUUUGCGACCUCGAUGUUGGAUUAUGGAAACUUUACGGUGUAGCAGCUGUAAGGGNAAAACGUU
rnacentral:rRNA from 1 species